rnacentral:rRNA from 1 species
AACGAACGCUGGCGGCAGGCUUAACACAUGCAAGUCGAGCGCGCCCUUUCGGGGGUGAGCGGCGAACGGGUGAGUAACGCGUGGGAACGUGCCCUUUGGUUCGGAAUAGCCCUGGGAAACUGGGAGUAAUGCCGGAUAAGCCCUACGGGGGAAAGAUUUAUCGCCAAAGGAUCGGCCCGCGUUGGAUUAGGUAGUUGGUGGGGUAAUGGCCUACCAAGCCGACGAUCCAUAGCUGGUUUGAGAGGAUGAUCAGCCACACUGGGACUGAGACACGGCCCAGACUCCUACGGGAGGCAGCAGUGGGGAAUCUUGGACAAUGGGGGCAACCCUGAUCCAGCCAUGCCGCGUGAUCGAUGAAGGCCUUAGGGUUGUAAAGCUCUUUCAGCUGGGAAGAUAAUGACGGUACCAGCAGAAGAAGCCCCGGCUAACUCCGUGCCAGCCGCCGCGGUAACAC